rnacentral:rRNA from 1 species
UACGAACCGUACAAACGUUAUUCGGAAUCACUGGGCUUAAAGGGCGCGUAGGCGGCCAUGUAAGUGAGAUGUGAAAUCCCUCGGCUCAACCGAGGAAGUGCAUUUCAUACUGCAUGGCUUGAGGGAGACAGGGGUAAGCGGAACUGAUGGUGGAGCGGUGAAAUGCGUUGAUAUCAUCAGGAACACCGGUGGCGAAAGCGGCUUACUGGGUCUCUUCUGACGCUGAGGUACGAAAGCUAGGGGAGCGAACGGG